UCGGCCCCUAAGGCGAGGCAGAAAUGCGUAGUCGAUGGGAAGCAUGUUAAUAUUCCUGCACCGACGUGUAAUGCGAUGGGGGGACGGAUCGUGGAAAGUGGUCCAGGUGUUGGAUAUCCUGGUCCCUGCAUCAUAGAGGACAGUUAGGCAAAUCCGGCUGUCAUAUACUCAAGGGUGUGGGGGGAAGUAGCUACGGCUACGAACCCAUUGGAAGUGGUCCCAAGAAAAGCCUCUAAGCUUCAGUUACACGUUGACCGUACCGCAAACCGACACAGGUGGGCGAGAUGAGUAUUCUAAGGCGCUUGAGAGAACUCGGGAGAAGGAACUCGGCAAAUUGACACCGUAACUUCGGAAGAAGGUGUGCCUUUAGUAGGUGAAGUCCCUCGCGGAUGGAGCCCAAUGAGGUUGCAAAAAAUCGGUGGCUGCGACUGUUUAUUAAAAACACAGCACUCUGCAAACACGAAAGUGGACGUAUAGGGUGUGACGCCUGCCCGGUGCUGGAAGAUUAAAUGAUGGGGUGCAAGCUCUUGAUUGAAGUCCCAGUAAACGGCGGCCGUAACUAUAACGGUCCUAAGGUAGCGAAAUUCCUUGUCGGGUAAGUUCCGACCUGCAUGAAUGGUAUAACGACUUCUUUACUGUCUCCAGCAUAAUCUUGGUGAAUUUGAAAUGCCCGUGAAGAUGCGGGCUAUUUGCGGCUAGACGGAAAGACCCCGUGCACCUUUACUAUGAUUUUAAGUUGUAAAAUUAGAUUUUACGUGUAGCAUAGGUGGGAGCUUGUAGCACUAGUGAAAUACCACCCUUAGUGUUUAAUUUUACUUAAUUUAUUUUUAAAGACAGCUUAUGAAAGUUAGUUUGACUGGGGCGGUCGCCUCCUAAAAGGUAACGGAGGCGUACAAAGGUUUCCUCAGAUCGGUCAGAAAUCGAUCUUAGAGUGCAAAGGCAAAAGGAAGCUUAACUGUGAGACAAACAAGUCGAGCAGAGACGAAAGUCGGUCUUAGUGAUCUGACGCUGCUGUGUGGAAAGGGCGUCACUCAACGGAUAAAAGUUACUCUAAGGAUAACAGGCUGAUCUCCCCCAAGAGUUCCUAUCGACGGGGAGGUUUGGCACCUCGAUGUCGGCUCAUCUCAUCCUGGGGCUGUAGCCGGUCCCAAGGGUAUGGCUGUUCGCCAUUUAAAGAGGUACGUGAGCUGGGUUUAAAACGUCGUGAGACAGUUUGGUCCCUAUCUUCCGUGGGCGCUGCAGAUUUGAGGAAGCCUGCUCCUAGUACGAGAGGACCGGAGUGGACACACCUCUGGUGUAUCGGUUGUCACGCCAGUGGCAUUGCCGAGUAGCUAAGUGUGGAAGAGAUAACCGCUGAAAGCAUCUAAGCGGGAAACUCGUUUCAAGAUGAGAUCUGCCGGGGCCUUGAGCCCCCUAAAGAGUCGUUCAAGACCAGGACGUUGAUAGGUCAGGUGUGGAAGCGAAA
rnacentral:rRNA from 1 species